rnacentral:lncRNA from 1 species
UGCAGAUCACAGUUUUGGGGUCUCCUCUGGUUAGAGCCUGGCCCAUUCGGGUUUGGUUUUCUCCUGGAUGUUCAUUCACAGGUGAAUAAGGUCAAUUCACCGUGGAGUCUGCGUCUGAAUCCUUGUUUCUUAGGUCAUCCUGGGGUCCCAGCUGCCCGGGAUGAAAAAACGAUACCCGGGUACCAGGGAUUGGGGAUCAGGAACGCCCGCGCUCAGGGUAACCGCUACCCUCCCCCGCCACCGCGCACGCGCCGCUUCUCUGCCAAGGAAGGGGCGGGGAGUGGGCGGGGCGGGCACCUUUGGGGCCAAUUGGAAGCGAGCAUCCCCGCCCUCCGAGCCGAUGGACCGAGUUUGACCCCGGCGGUGGGCGGAGGAGGCGGGGCGAGCCGCGCAGCCAGGAAGGGGGCGGGGCCCGGGGCCUGGAGGCGGGGCCUGGGGCUGUCAGUCCCGCGCCCGCCGCCGCGCCGCGGCUCCUUGCAUGCCGUGGCCCGGGUGGCUGCCAACGCUGCCGCCCGCCGCCCGCCACCCUGGCACCCCGAGCCGCCUCCCGCCGCCCCGGCCUGGCGCGCAGGCCAUCAGCAAGUCCUGUUGAUUCUACCUUCAAAAUAUAGCCUGGAUCUGACCACUUUUUAUCUCCAUAUGGGAGGUUCCUCUGAUGCUGUCUCUGGGCUGAUAAAGAGUCUAGAGUUGUCUCUAGUCAAGGAGAGUUUAUAUCCUGCCUGUAGGCAGAAAGUAGGGUAGGGUGAGCUUUUUCUCUGUUUACUGCUUCUUAAUUGCCUUUAGCUAAAAAGUAAUUUUUAUGUCAGAGGAAUAUUUUGGGGUGACAUAUUCCUGUUUCCUUAAGCCCAAUGGAACAGAUUAGAGAAUUUAGAAAGAGAUCUUUAUAUGAUCACUUGUUUUAUGACAGAGUUGACACUAAAAUACAGUAGAGAAAGGAUGUCUUUUCAAUAAAUAGUGCUGACUCAAUUUAGUAACCAUAUGGAAAAAAAUGAAUCUUCCUCAAGCCAUUCACAAAUAUCCAUUCUAGCUGCAUUGUAGAUCUAUAUAUAUUAGGUAAGACAAUAAGGCUCUUAAAAGAAAACAUAAGCGGAUAUCUGUAUACCCUUAAGAAUAACCAAAUGUUUCUUAAACAUUACACAAAAGGACUAACUAUAAAGGAAAAUAUUGAUAAACUAGAUUAGACUAAAAUCAAGAAAUUCUGAUCAUCAA